rnacentral:snRNA from 1 species
UAAUGACCUCUAUUACUCCAUUGAUUUCCAAGGUUGAUUCAGUUGAUGAGACUGGCUAGGCAGGAAGGUGCUACCUUCCUCCCCUACUGCUCCAUGUGUGUCCCUCCCAAGCUGUGUGCUCAGUGGAGGAGGAUGACUUUCUUCAAUGGAGGAAGAGCAUUCUUUGUUCAACAGUAUUAGAGUAGCUGUGCUCCCUCUCUAGAACCUCCAAACAAGCCACAUUUUUUUGUCUCCCACCCCAUAAUCUCUCUCUACAUGCACAGAGACACUUUAACUUUCAAUACUUUUUAACUCCAAAAUUUU